AUGAGGAGGCAUUGCCAAGCUCUCUCAUGCUGUCUCGUCGUCCUCCUCUUCUUCAUCCUCGUCUCGUCCAGCAGCGCUUCCACUCUAGAGCACAUGUGCAAGUACAUCGCCAGAACCCGCAAGGAUAUCGGCUACGACUACUGCAUCAAGUUUUUCCAAGCCAACAAAACUAGCGCCACCGCCGACAACCGCGGCCUUGGCGUUAUCGCCACGCAGAUCAGCCGCGCAGUAGCCUCGGACACCCUCAAGCGAAUCGACACACUCCUGGCUUCGGAGAAGGACAAGAAGAUCCAUGCGCCCCUCUCUGACUGCCGCGUGCUGUACUCAGCCGCGGUGAACUUGCUCAAGGUGGCGGCGAACCUCAACGCCGUGGUAUUGGACACCUACACCUGUGAGAAUGGGUUCCGCGUGCUAGGCGUGACUUCACCACUGGCCGCGGAGGACGCCAGGUUCCUUAAGGACUGCUCCAUCGCUCUCAUUAUAACGAGCACGUUCUGGUAG
rnacentral:rRNA from 1 species